GACGAACGCUGGCGGCGUGCUUAACACAUGCAAGUCGAACGAAGUGGCGAACGGGUGAGUAACGCGUAAUCAACCUGCCCUUCAGAGGGGGACACCCGUUGGAAACGACUCCUAAUACCGCAUACGGAAGGAGGGGCUUGCGUCUGAUUAGCUAGUUGGCGGGGCAAAGGCCCACCAAGGCGAGGAUCAGUAGCCGGUCUGAGCGGAAGAACGGCCACAAUGGGACUGGGACACGGCCCAGACUCCUACGGGAGGCAGCAGUGGGGAAUCUUCCGCAAUGGACGAAAGUCUGACGAAGCAACGCCGCGUGAGUGAUGACUGCCUUCGGGUUGUAAAGCUCUGUUAAUCGGGACGCGGUACCGGAAUAGAAAGCCACGGCUAACUACGUGCCAGCAGCCGCGGUAAUUC
rnacentral:rRNA from 1 species